rnacentral:lncRNA from 1 species
UAACAUUCCAGUGUUUCAGAGAAACACUCUUGUAUUUGGACCUAUAUUAAGCUGAAUAAAGAGAACCUACUGAGGUUUAUUAAUCUUUAGUGAGAGCCCAUUUUACUUUACUUUAGUUCUGGUUUACAGAAAAGGUUUACUUCUAUAGAUUUUAUUUCUAUAGAUACAGAUAUGAGCUACAACCGUGAACAAUGAUUUAAGGACAGCUAAGCAGAAUGAAAAAAUCUUUAUGGAGCAAAAAACUGAGAGAAAUUAAUUUCUUGGCAACAUAAGAUUAUCAUGACUAAUUUCACCUCUGUUCAUGAUCUGAUGUAAAGCAGGGAAUGAGAUCAUACAAUUCUCUGAAUGCCAAUCAUAUGAUUUGAACUCAGUUCAAAAGUGGCUCUGCUGAAAGCAUUUAAGGACUAGUAGCUUAGUUCAUGAGAACAAAAUCUAAUAAGAAUGAAGAUAUUACACUAAAGAACUGGUUUUGUCA